rnacentral:rRNA from 1 species
GGCGAAUGAUUUAGCCGCCGCGAGUCGCCCUUAGAGUUUGAUCCUGGCUCAGGACGAACGCUGGCGGCGCGCCUAACACAUGCAAGUCGAACGAGCGAGAGAGAGCUUGCUUUCUCAAGCGAGUGGCGAACGGGUGAGUAACGCGUGAGGAACCUGCCUCAAAGAGGGGGACAACAGUUGGAAACGACUGCUAAUACCGCAUAAGCCCACAGCUCGGCAUCGAGCAGAGGGAAAAGGAGCAAUCCGCUUUGAGAUGGCCUCGCGUCCGAUUAGCUAGUUGGUGAGGUAACGGCCCACCAAGGCGACGAUCGGUAGCCGGACUGAGAGGUUGAACGGCCACAUUGGGACUGAGACGCGGCCCAGACUCCUACGGGAGGCAGCAGUGGGGAAUAUUGCACAAUGGGGGAAACCCUGAUGCAGCGACGCCGCGUGGAGGAAGAAGGUCUUCGGAUUGUAAACUCCUGUUGUUGAGGAAGAUAAUGACGGUACUCAACAAGGAAGUGACGGCUAACUACGUGCCAGCAGCCGCGGUAAAACGUAGGUCACAAGCGUUGUCCGGAAUUACUGGGUGUAAAGGGAGCGCAGGCGGGAAGACAAGUUGGAAGUGAAAUCUAUGGGCUCAACCCAUAAACUGCUUUCAAAACUGUUUUUCUUGAGUAGUGCAGAGGUAGGCGGAAUUCCCGGUGUAGCGGUGGAAUGCGUAGAUAUCGGGAGGAACACCAGUGGCGAAGGCGGCCUACUGGGCACCAACUGACGCUGAGGCUCGAAAGUGUGGGUAGCAAACAGGAUUAGAUACCCUGGUAGUCCACACCGUAAACGAUGAUUACUAGGUGUUGGAGGAUUGACCCCUUCAGUGCCGCAGUUAACACAAUAAGUAAUCCACCUGGGGAGUACGACCGCAAGGUUGAAACUCAAAGGAAUUGACGGGGGCCCGCACAAGCAGUGGAGUAUGUGGUUUAAUUCGACGCAACGCGAAGAACCUUACCAAGUCUUGACAUCCCUUGACGAACAUAGAAAUAUGUUUUCUCUUCGGAGCAAGGAGACAGGUGGUGCAUGGUUGUCGUCAGCUCGUGUCGUGAGAUGUUGGGUUAAGUCCCGCAACGAGCGCAACCCUUACUGUCAGUUACUACGCAAGAGGACUCUGGCAGGACUGCCGUUGACAAAACGGAGGAAGGUGGGGAUGACGUCAAAUCAUCAUGCCCUUUAUGACUUGGGCUACACACGUACUACAAUGGCGUUAAACAAAGAGAAGCAAGACCGCGAGGUGGAGCAAAACUCAGAAACAACGUCCCAGUUCGGACUGCAGGCUGCAACUCGCCUGCACGAAGUCGGAAUUGCUAGUAAUCGUGGAUCAGCAUGCCACGGUGAAUACGUUCCCGGGCAUCGUACACGGCGCCCGUC